CGCCUGUUUAUCAAAAACAUGUCUUUUUGAUUAAUAAUUUAAAGUCUGGUCUGCCCACUGAUUAAAAUAAUUAAAGGGCUGCAGUAUUUUGACUGUACAAAGGUAGCAUAAUAAUUAGUCUUUUAAUUGAUGACUUGUAUGAAUGAUUAGAUAAAAUAUAAGCUGUCUCUUAAUAAAUUUAUAGAAUUUAAUUUUUUAUUUAAAAAGUUAAAAUAAUUUUAAAAGACGAGAAGACCCUAUAGAGUUUAAUAAUUUUAUAAAUUAAAAUUGUAUUUAUAAAUUUAAUUAAAAAUUAUAUAAUUAUUUUAUUGGGGUGAUAAAAAAAUUAAUAAAACUUUUUUUAAAUAUUAACAAAAAUAAUUGAAUAUUUGAUCCAAUUUUAUUUUGAUUAUAAGAUUAAAUUACCUUAGGGAUAACAGCGUAAUUUUUUUUUUUAGUUCUUAUAAAAAAGAAAGUUUGCGACCUCGAUGUUGGAUUAAGAUAAAAUUUAAAUGCAAAAGUUUAAAAUUUUGAUCUGUUCGAUCAUUAAAAUCUUACAUGAUCUGAGUUCAAACCGGAG
rnacentral:rRNA from 1 species